UACGGAGGAUGCAAGCGUUGUCCGGAAUUAUUGGGCGUAAAGAGCUUGUAGGCGGUCUGUCGCGUCUGCUGUGAAAAUCCGGGGCUCAACCCCGGACUUGCAGUGGGUACGGGCAGACUAGAGUGUGGUAGGGGAGACUGGAAUUCCUGGUGUAGCGGUGAAAUGCGCAGAUAUCAGGAGGAACACCGAUGGCGAAGGCAGGUCUCUGGGCCACUACUGACGCUGAGAAGCGAAAGCAUGGGGAGCGAACAGG
rnacentral:rRNA from 1 species